rnacentral:lncRNA from 1 species
CCGCCGAGAGGGUUCACAAAGGGUAGGGUGGUGUGGAGCAAGGCAGGGUCCUCGCAGGCAGUGCCAAGAUUGAGCUGGGGGUGGGCAGAGUGGGCGGGGUGCGGACCCAUGGCCCUACGCAUCCUGGGCCAGGUCUCUUGUGGUGCUUCACGCUCUCGACCUGUGAGUGGUGCCUGCUAGAGCUGCCCAGAUCCCUUUUCCCUACCCCUUCUGACCCUGGACCCAGAGUGGUGGUUGCGAUCUGCUACCGUGACGUCAGCCCUCAUUCGUUCGUUCCACAAACUCCACAGCUCUGGUCCAUUAGAGGAAGGAGGUCCCAGAAUAGCUGGGAAAUUACGAGAACAGCCUCACUGCACGAGUUGGUGAAUGCUGUGAUGGCGAUUGUAUGAUGGACGGUGAUGUUGAAACCAGACUGGGGAAUGACCGCCCCAUCCGGAGAGGCUGGAUUGCAGUGUCAUUGAUCAUAGCUCAAGCGGUCUUCCUGCCUCAGCCUCCCAAAGUGCUGUGAUUACAGGUGUGAGCCACUGCACCUGGCCUCUUCAUAUCUUACAACGGUAAGACUAGCGGGUUCAGGAGCC